GCCUCUCUGUUGUUUCAGUGCCUGCAUGAUUCUACAAAAUGUUUGGAUUCAUAACAUGGCAAAAAUAUCUUACUGAAAUCUAAGAGGGAAAUUAUUUCUGUUUCUGAAAGGACACACGUUGCUCCCGACAGAGUGAACUCUUUCUUUCCAUAGACAAAACCCCAAAUGCCUGUUUUUCUCUAAGUAGAUAUUAGUUUCAGCCUGAGGAAAACAACAACAAAUCAGGAAAGAAGGAAAGUUGAGCUUCCUGCAGAAAGCCCAGUGUUUAUCUGUCCAGUAACUGCAUACUAACUCCAGGAAUAAAACAGCUGCUGUCCUUGCACACAGGCAGCUGUCUUGGAAUUUAAAGAGGAAAUGAAACGAGGAAAGGAAACAAAAAAAAAUUAAAACAUCAUGUAGAAAACCAUGUCAGAGGUGCAAAGAAGCAGAAGUUCUCAUUCAACAAAGCAUUAUGUGAUUGUUUGGUAGAUUAGCAGAUAUAUAAGUGAAAUUCUGGUUCUUCUGCAGAUAAAUGUCAUAGUUUGGAGGCUGGAUCUUUCUUACAGACCAAGGUUUGCAUGUAUAUCUUGUUUGCUUUAAAAUGUCUUAUCUUCCCUCAUGCUGUCUGUGGGAGAGGCGGAAUCCUAAUCCAUAGAAACAUGACCAGUGCUAUGUCAAGGCUGUCCUUAAAGUACAAAUCCAGAGGAACUUCACAAUCUGGUAGGAUCAAGUGGUCACUAAGGCAGUUCUGGCUACAGAUCAAGUUGAAACAGGAAGUUUUACUUUGUCAUCACCUUUAUGGGGCUCAUUCUUGCAGCCCUAGGAGGAGGUGCCAGUCUCACUUUUCACAGGUGAAGAAGAUAAUGAAGGAGAUCUUCUGGCAUCCUUUAGCCACCACCAUCUGUCUCUAAAAGGCCUUUGUCUGCAGCUGGGGCAUAGUACUGAUGCAAAACUUUCUCCUGAUAUGCCUCUCUUCCUUCUCUCCCUAGUCCUCCCAUCAAGAGUGAAACAUCCCUGUUUAUGGAGGUGCUGUGCAACGCCGAAGAAUGUCUUCCUGAGCAGGAGCUGUUGGUCAUCUGAUACAGCCCAGUUUCAGUGUCCCUGCAUCCCUGCUGCUGCUGUCAUCAGCAGUCCCAGCUGAGAAGCUCUGGAGCUGAAGAGGCCUUCUGGAGUUGAGCAUCUCCUCAACUGUCCUCUUCUUUGAGGAAAAACUUCUGUUUGGAGUAGGGGUAUGUGGGAACUAUUGGUUCAAUGGGAGACAUGCAGCGAUGCGUGUACAUGUGCGUGCCUGGGAAAAAACAUGUCCUGCAGUGCUGAUGGAUUCUGAGAAAGCCAGUGUUGGCCAUCGUGUCUCAAAAUAGCUCAUGAAAACAGGCUGCCUUACACUGAUUCCAUACUCUGUGACGGAGAUGUGCAGCCCUGAAAUACAAUUUGUUAUGCAAUUUAUCAAAAUAGUUAUCCUCCAGGGGGUUUUAGAACCCUGGAAAGAAAAGACGAGGAAAAAAUAGGGAGCUGUUUUCUUCGGCAAGAUAAAUAGCAAAUUGUUUUCUGAA